UGUUGUGUUGAUAGAGCCUAUUUUGGAAUGGCAUAUAUAUAUAUAGAGUCCGGCUGCUAUACUAUCGAUAGCACCAAGCGCUUGGUGCUAUUAGGGAUGCAAAUGGAUCUGGGUUGGGGAAGCUCCGCCCCGAUCCGCCCCGAAUGGCGUGGUAAGUGGGAACAAAAAAUAUAAAAAAAUAUAACCCGUCCCGAUCCGCCAAGUAAAUGGAGCGGGAGGUGAGACUCUUUUCUUCCUUCAAUCCGCCUCGAUCCGUCAAAAAUCCGGCUCCCGCCCCGAUCCGCCCCGAAUGGAGCGGUAAGUGGGAGCCAAAAAUAAAAUGAAAAGUAACCCGCCCCGAAUCCGCCCCGCCCCGAUAAGAAAUGGAGCGGGAGGUGGGGGAACUCUCCCGCCCCCGGAUCCGCCCCGUUUGCAUCCCUAGGUGCUAUCAAGUUUUCUGCCGUUAGAUUAACCCCUUUGAUUAUUUUUACCCGUUAGAUUAUAUUAUUCAACCAACCACUUACUCAAUCCUAGAGGCCCAUAUCAUCUUAACCGCAUAUUUCUCAAUCCAAGGGUUAAAAAACUAAUAGUACCAAUAGCUUGGUGCUAUUGAUAGUAUUCUAGCCUAGGUAUAUAUAUAUAUAGUAGGUCUUGUGUGCUAUUAGGAGCACGGAGGCUUUCGUGCUAUUAGGGUUCUCGAUUUAAGGCAAUGCCCUAUUUUAUUCGUGUAAAUAAAUAACUAAAAUAUUUUUUUUUUUUUUGAGAGAUAGGUAGCACGCUACCGGCUUCGUCUAUUUUGGAGUGGCCUAUAUAUAUAUAUAGAGAGAGAGUAGGCCGUGUGUGCUAUUAGGAGUACGGAGGCUUCCGUGCUUUUAAGCCGUUUUCAAUGAUGGAGCUUUUAAAUCGAUGAUCGGCUCCGUUAAACUUGAUCUAACGUAUUUGAAGUAUCUGAAAAAUAAAUUUUGUGAUUUUUUGAUAUCAUUUAUUUGCAAUCGAAAUGGUUCAAAAUAAACGAAUAAAAAUAAAAAUCUCACAAAAAGUGGUGAUAUAGUAUUAAAAUUUUCGAUCAAAGAUAUUGAUCUUAUUGCAAAUAGUAUAAAGAAUUUUUUAUUAAAAUUUUAUCUGAUUUGUAUGCUUUUAAACCGUUAAACUUGCAAACGAUAUAUAUCAACUAUUAAAAUUUAUUUAUUUUGAACCCUUUCAAUCGCCAGAUAAAUGAUAUUGAAAAGUCGCAAAAUUUAUUUUCUAUGUACUUUAAAUACGCUAGAUUAAGUCUAA
rnacentral:lncRNA from 1 species